AAUCAAGUUGAGCGGGUCUGCAUCGUUAUUUUGACGAAGUUUGAAACCAGUGGUAAUUUUUUGACACUUCAUCUAGAUUUAAGAAGAUUCUUGCCUGAACAACUGCUCUAACUCCCGGGUUGGCAUGCUCUAAAGGUAUAGUGAAUUCAGUAUGCAGAUUGUUGAAGGGAAAACAUCAAGACGGGGCGAGGAAGACAACAAAACAUGAUUACCCAGAUUGAGGAUCCCAGUGUUCUUUGUCUCAAGCUACUCAGCCUACCAUGAGAAAAUUAAAAGAUCUGUCAUGAAGAAGAGGCUGGUUCUCAACUUUCAUAUUAUAAAUGGCAA